rnacentral:rRNA from 1 species
AGUGAACGCUGGCGGUAGGCCUAACACAUGCAAGUCGAACGGCAGCACAGGAGAGCUUGCUCUCUGGGUGGCGAGUGGCGGACGGGUGAGGAAUACAUCGGAAUCUGCCCAGUCGUGGGGGAUAACGUAGGGAAACUUACGCUAAUACCGCAUACGACCUUCGGGUGAAAGAGGGGGAUCGCAAGACCUCUCGCGAUUGGAUGAGCCGAUGUCGGAUUAGCUAGUUGGCGGGGUAAUGGCCCACCAAGGCGACGAUCCGUAGCUGGUCUGAGAGGAUGAUCAGCCACACUGGAACUGGGACACGGUCCAGACUCCUACGGGAGGCAGCAGUGGGGAAUAUUGGACAAUGGGCGCAAGCCUGAUCCAGCCAUACCGCGUGGGUGAAGAAGGCCUUCGGGUUGUAAAGCCCUUUUGUUGGGAAAGAAAUCUUUCAGGCUAAUACCCUGGGAGGAUGACGGUACCCAAAGAAUAAGCACCGGCUAACUUCGUG